UUCACUGUUAUACUUGGAGGCCAUGUCACCUGAGAGUCAAUGGGCAACAAUCAAAUUUCACCUUGAGCAGGUUCUUUUGUUUGCUUUCUAGUCACAAAUAGCUUGGCCCUAAGUGGUGGCUCCCAUUCUUGUAAGAUGCGUUUAUUCAUCGUGUAAUCACCAGUUCCCUGUAGUGGGGGCGUGGAUGGAGUGUCGGAGGCUCCUGCUGGUCUUUAGGGUGUCUGGCCUCCAGGAAUCCUAGAGGUAGUAUUUGGAGAGAUUUUUAAAAGCUUUGUUUCUGUGACCAGCAAAACCUGGAUUUGACACUGAGGUCAGCCUGUUUCAGCCAGUGACUUAACCUGUCUUUUUGCCCCAAUAAAUUGGGAACAACAGCACUCGAUGUUAGAGUUGUCGUGAAGAUUAAAGAAGGUGACGAUUGGACAACUCCCAGCCCAGUACCUGAAACUGUGCCAGCACCCAAUGGGCACUGCUAUUCCUGUGACUGCUGCACGUUUACCUUAUCUCAGCAGUAUGCCUGUGUCACUUUUUUGGCACUCUUUUCUCAUGGGUACAUUCAGAGAAGAGGAAUGUUUGUUCACUGGUGAAGAGAACACCCCGUGUACUAUCGUGUAGAAGUUGUAGUAGACGCUGUGGUCUUUCCAACAACAAACAAAUUCUUCACAUGGAGGCCUGUGAUGGACUCAUUCAAGAUCUUGCCCCCAUGGCCUGGGGACUGCGCUAAUUCCUCAACUCCCCCUCCAGCCUCUCUCAGUCAGACAACAGCCUCAUCCACAACACCACAAAUAUCACUCUCUCUAAGGGAAGGCAUGAGCCCACGCACACAGCCC